rnacentral:rRNA from 1 species
AAUACGGAGGAUCCAAGCGUUAUCCGGAUUCAUUGGGUUUAAAGGGUCCGUAGGCGGAUUUUUAAGUCAGUGGUGAAAGCCGACAGCUCAACUGUCGAACUGCCAUUGAUACUGGAAAUCUUGAGUACAAAUGAAGUAGGCGGAAUGAGUCAUGUAGCGGUGAAAUGCAUAGAUAUGACUCAGAACACCAAUUGCGAAGGCAGCUUACUAACAUGUAACUGACGCUGAGGGACGAAAGCGUGGGGAGCGAACAGGAUUAGAUACCCUGGUAGUCCACGCCGUAAACGAUCAUCACUCGCUGUUGGCGAUAUACAGUCAGCGGCCAAGCGAAAGUAUUAAGUGAUGCACCUGGGGAGUACGCCGGCAACGGUGAAACUCAAAGGAAUUGACGGGGGCCCGCACAAGCGGUGGAGCAUGUGGUUUAAUUCGAUGAUACGCGAGGAACCUUACCAGGGCUUAAAUGUAGUUUGACCGGUCUGGAAACAGACUUUCUCUUCGGAGCAGAUUACAAGGUGCUGCAUGGUUGUCGUCAGCUCGUGCCGUGAGGUGUUAGGUUAAGUCCUGCAACGAGCGCAACCCCUAUUCUUAGUUGCCAGCGGUUCGGCCGGGGACUCUAAGAAGACUGCCAGCGCAAGCUGAGAGGAAGGUGGGGAUGACGUCAAAUCAUCACGGCCCUUACGUCCUGGGCUACACACGUGCUACAAUGGUAGAGACAGAGGGCAGCCACCUGGUGACAGGGAGCGAAUCCUUAAACUCUAUCUCAGUUCGGAUCGAAGUCUGCAACUCGACUUCGUGAAGCUGGAAUCGCUAGUAAUCGCGCAUCAGCCAUGGCGCGGUGAAUACGUUCCCGGGCCUUGUACACACCGCCCGUCAAGCCAUGGAAGCUGGGGGUACCUGAAGUCGGUAACCGUAAGGAGCUGCCUAGGGUAAAACUAGUAACUAG